rnacentral:antisense_RNA from 1 species
AGGGUAGGUUUCCUAGAAAAGCAGUGUAGGGUGGCGAUUUGGGAAGACGGCUCCGGUCGAUAUUGGGUUCCCGAGCAGCCCGUGGAGCAGUGGGAAGGAUGGAACGGUCAAUUGGAGGCGCCCUAUACACAUCGUCAUCGUUACUGUGCCAAGUUGUUGAAACUAGGAUAGAGGAAUGAAUAACUUCCGAGAAGUCACCACCAAUCAAGAGCUGAUUCAGAAGAGCAGACGGACUCAGUAAAGUUCCAGAACUGGCCUGAUAGCAGCCACUACAUGAUUAAGAAAAAAACAAGCAGCUUUGUUGUAAAAAAGAUCGGCUUCAUGGUUUUUAUAAUCAUGAAUUUCUCCUCCAUGUUCCAAUUGUCACCUGAUUUUUAAUCCAAGAAUAUCAAACUUGAUGUACCCCUUUGUUUAACUGAAGGUUGCUUUCUCACUUGGUAUCUUUCUUUCAAAUUUAACUUUCAGGAAAUAAAGGUAACCAGUUUGCUAUGAAUGUUAACACAUAGCCUUCUGGACACAAUUAGAA